AUUGAACGCUGGCGGCAGGCUUAACACAUGCAAGUCGAGCGGAGAGAUGUAGCUUGCUACUAAUCUUAGCGGCGGACGGGUGAGUAAUGCUUAGGAAUCUGCCUAUUAGUGGGGGACAACAUUCCGAAAGGAAUGCUAAUACCGCAUACGCCCUACGGGGGAAAGCAGGGGAUCAUUAGACCUUGCGCUAAUAGAUGAGCCUAAGUCGGAUUAGCUAGUUGGUGGGGUAAAGGCCUACCAAGGCGACGAUCUGUAGCGGGUCUGAGAGGAUGAUCGGCCACACUGGGACUGAGACACGGCCCAGACUCCUACGGGAGGCAGCAGUGGGGAAUAUUGGACAAUGGGGGGAACCCUGAUCCAGCCAUGCCGCGUGUGUGAAGAAGGCCUUUUGGUUGUAAAGCACUUUAAGCGAGGAGGAGGCUACUCUGGUUAAUACCCAGGGAUAGUGGACGUUACUCGCAGAAUAAGCACCGGCUAACUCUGUGCCAGCCGCCGCGGUAAAAC
rnacentral:rRNA from 1 species